rnacentral:rRNA from 1 species
AUUGAACGCUGGCGGCAGGCUUAACACAUGCAAGUCGAACGAGUGGCCGACGGGUGAGUAAUGCUUGGGAAUCUAGCUUAUGGAGGGGGAUAACUACGGGAAACUUUAGCUAAUACCGCGUACCAUAGGAAGAGCCCAAGUGGGAUUAGGUCGUUGGUGAGGUAAAGGCUCACCAAGCCGACGAUCUCUAGCUGGUCUGAGAGGAUGACCAGCCACAAUGGGACUGAGAAACGGCCCAGACGCCGACGGGAGGCAGCAGUGGGGAAUAUUGCACAAUGGGCGCAAGCCUGAUGCAGCCAGGCCGCGUGUGUGAAGAAGGCCUUCGGGUGGUAAAGCACUUUCAGCGAGGAGGCGUUACUCGCAGAAGAAGCACCGGCUAACUCCGUGCCAGCAGCCGCGGUAAUUC